AACGAACGCUGGCGGCGCGUCUUAAACAUGCAAGUCGAACGGUAAGGAAGGAGCUUGCUCCUUUCUGAGAGUGGCGGACUGGUGAGUAACACGUGGGUGACAUACCUUUUAGAUGGGGAUAGCUAUUAGAAAUAGUAGGUAAUACCGAAUGUGACCGUAUCUGUUAGAGGGAUACGAGGAAAGGAGCUAAGGCUUCGCUAAAAGAAUGGCCCGCGGCCCAUUAUGCUCGUUGGUGAGGUAACGGCCCACCAAGGCGAUGAUGGGUAUCCGGCCUGAGAGGGUGGACGGACACAUUGGGACUGAGAUACGGCCCAGACUUCUACGGGAGGCAGCAGUUAAGAAUAUUCCGCAAUGGACGAAAGUCUGACGGAGCGACGCCGCGUGGAUGAAGAAUGCCGAAAGGUUGUAAAAUCCUUUUAAGCCUGAGGAAUAAGCACAGUAGGGAAUGAUUGUGUGGUGACUGUAGGGCUUGAAUAAGCACCGGCAAAUUACGUGCCAGCAGCCGCGGUAACACGUAAGGUGCGAGCGUUGUUCGGAAUUAUUGGGCGUAAAGGGCAUGUAGGCGGAUGAGCAAGCUUGGUGUGAAAUGCUACAGCUUAACUGUGGGACAGCAUUGAGAACUGCACAUCUUGAAUUACUGAAGGGUAACUAGAAUUCCACGUGUAGGGGUGAAAUCUGUAGAUAUGUGGAAGAAUACCAAUGGCGAAGGCAAGUUACCGGCAGAUAAUUGACGCUGAGGUGCGAAAGUGCGGGGAGCGAACAGG
rnacentral:rRNA from 1 species